CAUGGAGGGUGAGAAUCCCGUUCAUGGUUAAUCUUAAGGAAGCUCUACGAUACGUUUUCCAAGAGUCGAGUUGUUUGGGAUUGCAGCUCAAAAUGGGAGGUAAAUUUCUCCUAAGGCUAAAUAUUGGCGAGAGACCGAUAGCGAACAAGUACCGUGAGGGAAAGAUGAAAAGAACUUUGAAAAGAGAGUUAAACAGUACGUGAAAUUGUUGAAAGGGAAACGAUUGAAGUCAGUCAUACCAACGGGAAAUCAACCUUUUGAGCUCGGUCUCGUGGGUUUUGAAGAGUUUCAAAGCCUUCGGAUUCGCGGGAUUGGGAUCUCUCGGUGUACUUUCUCGUACGGUUAGUCAACAUCGGUUUUGAAUGUCAUAAAAUGACUGGAGGAAUGUAGCUUCGAUCUCGUAUUGAAGUGUUAUAGCCUUUGGUAGAUGUGAUGUUUGAGACCGAGGAUUGCAACGGAUACCCUUCAGGGCUAUUCGUCUGAUCUCUGAUACGUUGCCUUGAUGUUGAAAGCUUGCUUAUGAUGUUAGGGUAUUACGGUCAAAAGGUUAGAACGAAUUACAUUCGUUAAGGAUGUUGACGUAAUGG
rnacentral:rRNA from 1 species